UAGGGAAUCUUCCGCAAUGGACGAAAGUCUGACGGAGCAACGCCGCGUGAGUGAAGAAGGAUUUCGGUUCGUAAAACUCUGUUGUUAGGGAAGAAAAAAUGUAUAGUAACUAUAUACAAAAGAGACGGUACCUAACCAGAAAGCCACGGCUAACUACGUGCCAGCAGCCGCGGUAAUACGUAGGUGGCAAGCGUUGUCCGGAAUUAUUGGGCGUAAAGCGCGCGCAGGUGGUUUAGAAAGUCUGAUGUGAAAGCCCACGGCUCAACCGUGGAGGGUCAUUAGAAACUAAUAAACUUGAGUGCAGGAGAGAAAAGUGGAAUUCCUAGUGUAGCGGUGAAAUGCGUAGAGAUUAGGAGGAACACCGGUGGCGAAAGCGGCUUUUUGGCCUGCAACUGACACUGAGGCGCGAAAGCGUGGGGAGCAAACAGG
rnacentral:rRNA from 1 species